AAAACGUACAGUGAAAGACAGAGAUUUGGAGCCUACGACCCCAGGCCAGAAGAAAACAAACAAGAGAUUCAUUAGAGGUUGAUGCUAAUGACACGAUCAUGUUUCUAGAAGAUCCCCGAUGAUGUUUGGAAGUUGUGAAUUCAGUCGGACGUCGAGACUAUGUCUCUUAUGACAUCACCCCAGCCAUAAUCAGUUAUGAUAGAUUGUAGUUUGUUCAUCGACUAUAUU